AGCGAACGCUGGCGGCAGGCCUAAUACAUGCAAGUCGAGCGAGACUCUUCGGAGUCUAGCGGCGGACGGGUGAGUAACACGUGGGCAACCUGCCUGUGAGACUGGGAUAACACCGGGAAACCGGUGCUAAUACCUGAUAAUCCUUUUUCUCUCAUGAGGGAAAGCUGAAAGUCGGUUUCGGCUGACGCUUACAGAUGGGCCCGCGGCGCAUUAGCUAGUUGGUGAGGUAACGGCUCACCAAGGCGACGAUGCGUAGCCGACCUGAGAGGGUGAUCGGCCACACUGGGACUGAGACACGGCCCAGACUCCUACGGGAGGCAGCAGUAGGGAAUCUUCCACAAUGGACGAAAGUCUGAUGGAGCAACGCCGCGUGAGCGAUGAAGGCCUUCGGGUCGUAAAGCUCUGUUGUUAGGGAAGAACAAGUACCGGAGUAACUGCCGGUACCUUGACGGUACCUAACCAGAAAGCCACGGCUAACUACGUGCCAGCCGCCGCCGUAAUAC
rnacentral:rRNA from 1 species